rnacentral:tRNA from 1 species
GGUAAAAUGACUGAGAUUUAUAGGUGAUAAAUUGUAAAUUUAUUAAGGAGAAUUAUUCUCUUUUACCA